AUGCCGAAAUGACCCUGAGAGAUCCCAAUGCAAAUGCAUCGAUCCAAGGAAAUUUUGAUGAUGACAGGGAAAGUGCAGGGAAAACAGAAAAAGAAAAAAAGAAAGGA
rnacentral:ribozyme from 1 species